UGCUCAAUGAUUUUUUAAAUUGCUGUAGUAUUUUGACUAUACAAAGGUAUUGAAAUAAGAUUUUAAUUGAAUGCUAAGAGAAUGGAAACCCAGAAAAAAACUUUUUUUAAAUUAAAAAUUGAAAUUUUUUUAAUUUGUGCAGAAACAAUUAUUAAUAUUAAGGACAAGAAGACCCUAUGAAUUUAUAAAAUUCUAUUAAAUAUGUUAUUGCUGUUGUAGAAUUUUUGGCUGGGGCGGCUAAAAAAUAUUUUAAACUUUUUAAAAGUAAAAUGAUCCAUUAUUAAUGAUUACAUGUGAAAUACUCUAGGGAUAACAGCGUUAUAUUUUUUGAUAGAUCAUAUUGACAAAAAAGUUUGCGAC
rnacentral:rRNA from 1 species